UUUAUUGUAUUUUUCUAUGACUUAUCUCUUCAGUAUACUUUUGGGGUUGUUUUGAGGAUAAGGGAUGGAGCUCAAAAAUCAAAAACGUAUUAAAUGAAGAGCUCAUAAAGAGCUCCUAAUUAUGCGCCCUUGCGCGAUUCCCUGUUGUUAAUUUUAACGUUUGAGAGCUCACAAAUAGCUCUUAAUUUUGAGCUAUUCAUUUUUUAUUUUCGUGUAGUGGGGGGUGGGCAGCUGGACAAAGGUGAAAAACAAUUGCAUAUCAGCGCCCAGCAGGAGUAGGUGCGCGCUA